rnacentral:rRNA from 1 species
UUGGAGUUUGAUCGUGGCUCAGAUUGAACGCUGGCGGCAGGCCUAACACAUGCAAGUCGAACGGUAACAGGAAGCAGCUUGCUGCUUUGCUGACGAGUGGCGGACGGGUGAGUAAUGUCUGGGAAACUGCCUGAUGGAGGGGGAUAACUACUGGAAACGGUAGCUAAUACCGCAUAACGUCGCAAGACCAAAGAGGGGGACCUUCGGGCCUCUUGCCAUCAGAUGUGCCCAGAUGGGAUUAGCUUGUUGGUGGGGUAACGGCUCACCAAGGCGACGAUCCCUAGCUGGUCUGAGAGGAUGACCAGCCACACUGGAACUGAGACACGGUCCAGACUCCUACGGGAGGCAGCAGUGGGGAAUAUUGCACAAUGGGCGCAAGCCUGAUGCAGCCAUGCCGCGUGUAUGAAGAAGGCCUUCGGGUUGUAAAGUACUUUCAGCGGGGAGGAAGGUGCUGUGGUUAAUAACCGCAGCAAUUGACGUUACCCGCAGAAGAAGCACCGGCUAACUCCGUGCCAGCCGCCGCCGUAACACAAA